rnacentral:sRNA from 2 species
CACAUUCACGUGUAGAGCAAGCUGAAACUGUCUUUGAUUGAUUGAUUCCCUCACUGGUUACUCUCGCCAGCCGUUGGUGGCUGCAAAUGUUUCACUGGAGCAUAGGAUCGACGCUCAUCAAAGUUGGUUACCCCAUAUUUUUUUUUGGCUGUGAGCCGCCGUGAGCUUGAGAAUUGAAAGCCAAUGGUCUAAUAAUAGCGGAAGUCUAAUAUCUAACUUGUGUCGUCGUCUCAAGGAACUUUUGAGGCUCUCCUUCAAUUUUUAACCUUUUAAGACCUAGCCAACUCCAGGCUAGUCAAAACUUUAAAUGUGUGCUGACAAAGCGUGCGAAAACUGCGGAGAUCUCUGAGUUGAGACCAAAAAUUUCU